rnacentral:rRNA from 1 species
UACGGGGGGAGCAAGCGUUGUUCGGAUUUACUGGGCGUAAAGGGCGCGUAGGCGGUCAGCACAAGUCAGUUGUGAAAUCUCCGAGCUUAACUCGGAAAGGUCAACCGAUACUGUGCGACUAGAGUGCAGAAGGGGCAACUGGAAUUCUUGGUGUAGCGGUGAAAUGCGUAGAUAUCAAGAGGAACACCUGCGGCGAAGGCGGGUUGCUGGGCUGACACUGACGCUGAAGCGCGAAAGCCAGGGGAGCGAACGGG